CGGGGUGUAGCGCAGUUUGGUAGCGCGCAUGCUUCGGGAGCAUGAGGUCGAAGGUUCAAAUCCUUUCACUCCGA
rnacentral:tRNA from 1 species